rnacentral:rRNA from 1 species
GACGAACGCUGGCGGCGUGCCUAAUACAUGCAAGUAGGACGCAGUCGCGAACGGGUGAGUAACGCGUAGGUAACUGCCUCUUAGAGGCGUAUAACUACUGGAAACGAUAGCUCAUACCGCAUACCAGUAGAUGGACCUGCGUUGUAUUAGCUAGUAGGUAGGGUAAUAGCCUACCUAGGCAACGAUACAUAUCCGACCUGAGAAGGGUGUCGGCCAUACUGGGACUGAGACACGGCCCAUGCUCCUACGGGUGGUCGCCGGAGGGAAUCUGCGCCGAUGGGGGGAACCCUGGCCGAACAGCGCCGCGUGAGUGGAGGAGGUUUUCGGAGCGUAAAGCUCUGUUGUUAAGGAAGCGGUACUGAACCAGAAAGAGACGGCUAACUACGUGCCAGCAGCCGCGGUAAUUC